GGGUUGUGAGGUUAAGCGACUAAGCGUACACGGUGGAUGCCCUGGCAGUCAGAGGCGAUGAAGGACGUGCUAAUCUGCGAUAAGCGUCGGUAAGGUGAUAUGAACCGUUAUAACCGGCGAUUUCCGAAUGGGGAAACCCAGUGUGUUUCGACACACUAUCAUUAACUGAAUCCAUAGGUUAAUGAGGCGAACCGGGGGAACUGAAACAUCUAAGUACCCCGAGGAAAAGAAAUCAACCGAGAUUCCCCCAGUAGCGGCGAGCGAACGGGGAGCAGCCCAGAGCCUGAAUCAGUGUGUGUGUUAGUGGAAGCGUCUGGAAAGGCGCGCGAUACAGGGUGACAGCCCCGUACACAAAAAUGCACAUACUGUGAGCUCGAUGAGUAGGGCGGGACACGUGGUAUCCUGUCUGAAUAUGGGGGGACCAUCCUCCAAGGCUAAAUACUCCUGACUGACCGAUAGUGAACCAGUACCGUGAGGGAAAGGCGAAAAGAACCCCGGCGAGGGGAGUGAAAAAGAACCUGAAACCGUGUACGUACAAGCAGUGGGAGCACGCUUCGGCGUGUGACUGCGUACCUUUUGUAUAAUGGGUCAGCGACUUAUAUUCUGUAGCAAGGUUAACCGAAUAGGGGAGCCGAAGGGAAACCGAGUCUUAACUGGGCGUUAAGUUGCAGGGUAUAGACCCGAAACCCGGUGAUCUAGCCAUGGGCAGGUUGAAGGUUGGGUAACACUAACUGGAGGACCGAACCGACUAAUGUUGAAAAAUUAGCGGAUGACUUGUGGCUGGGGGUGAAAGGCCAAUCAAACCGGGAGAUAGCUGGUUCUCCCCGAAAGCUAUUUAGGUAGCGCCUCGUGAACUCAUCUUCGGGGGUAGAGCACUGUUUCGGCAAGGGGGUCAUCCCGACUUACCAACCCGAUGCAAACUGCGAAUACCGGAGAAUGUUAUCACGGGAGACACACGGCGGGUGCUAACGUCCGUCGUGAAGAGGGAAACAACCCAGACCGCCAGCUAAGGUCCCAAAGUCAUGGUUAAGUGGGAAACGAUGUGGGAAGGCCCAGACAGCCAGGAUGUUGGCUUAGAAGCAGCCAUCAUUUAAAGAAAGCGUAAUAGCUCACUGGUCGAGUCGGCCUGCGCGGAAGAUGUAACGGGGCUAAACCAUGCACCGAAGCUGCGGCAGCGACACUAUGUGUUGUUGGGUAGGGGAGCGUUCUGUAAGCCUGUGAAGGUGUGCUGUGAGG
rnacentral:rRNA from 1 species